rfam:Pseudomonas pseudoalcaligenes KF707 = NBRC 110670 strain KF707 ctg10011, whole genome shotgun sequence.
UCGUGAGUCGCUGCCGCAACAGCUUGCAGCGACGAGCUUCAUGCCGCUCAGGAUGAUCGGGUGAGGCUUCAUCAGAAAAAGGAA